CCGCCCCAGAGCACGUGGGAAGGUUUUUCCUGUUCGUUCUUUCAUUUUUUAAAAGCCCACCCACUUUUGCGCGGGCUUGGUCACAGAGUUCUUCUCGCGAGAGGCGCCGCACCCUCUCGCGAGAGUGAGUGGGAGGUGUGGGGAUUAGGUGGUGUUGCAGACUGGAACUGCGGCGGCGGAAGCCGGGGGUGGGCAGGGCGGGGGCGGGCCCGCGGGGCGGGGAGGCGGGGAGGCGGGGAGGGGGGAGGGCCGGGGGCUGGUGCGGGAGGGGGCGCCCGCCUGCUCGGCGGCUCGCGCGACUGGUCGUUGCGGGCCGGUGACAUGCCUGUGAGCUGCGGAGGCUGCGGCCCCCAGAACUACCCAGGGUUGACCGGGAAUUUCACUGUUGGUUGUGGCUGUAACAGCUCGGUUUAUGAGAGAUCAAAGAAUGUAAGGCAGUCAGAAAAACGGAUUCCCAGGCUGAACUGGUAACUAGUGAUUAGUGUAUAUACCUAAGUAACUGCACUAUUGCUGAGGGCCUACAGGUAUACUCCUGGGCUAGUGAUAUUUCUCGGUUGUUGAGGAUAGGGGACCUCCUGAAGACCCUGAACCACAGUGAGAGCUUCUUUAGCUUCUAAAUUCCUGGGAUAAAUCUAGAAUCUGAAGAAUCUCCUUUACCUUUAGAGAUUGGAAGAAGGAUAGUACACUUUUUUUUUUUUUUUUUUUAAUUCCAGGAACAUACUGUCUGGAAAAAGAAAUCAGAUCAAAUCAGAUUUGGUCAUUUUUAGGGAAAUUUCCACUUGUAAAUCGGC
rnacentral:lncRNA from 1 species